AACUGGGCUCAGGGAGUGGGGCUUGCCCCUGCUCAGUGCGUGGGGGUCCCGGCCCCACACAGUGCUAGGGUCCCUCUCGAGUUUCUCAUCUGCCUUCAGGUCACUUUCCACCCUGAUGCCUUGGCUUGUCCUGAAGCUCAGGGCCCCUGUAGCUUGGGAAACCUCCCAAGCUCCCCAGCGAGUGGCUGUAGACCAAGGAAGGGACCCUGCCCGGCUUCAGGGAAGAAAGGAAGAAAGUUACUCCCCUGCUGGUGCCUCCCUCCUUGGCGCGCUUCCCACCUGCGAUCGGCGCCCUCUUCGCAGUCACGAACUCGCCAGCAGCUAGCAGCACUGACUAGUAGGAGGGCCCGCCGGAGGAGAGGACAUGCUCUGGAGUCAGAAGACAGCGAAAAGAGAAGCAGAAGCCCCGGUGGCAAGAGUCUGAAGCAGGAAGGAUGACUGUAGCCUGUGGAUUGUACUGCAGUAGGAAACUGUCCUAGCAAGGCUCCACUUUGCCCCAGCUUCAAGCUGGAAAGGAGGAGAACAUGAAACAUUGCUUGAAGACAAUGGCCGAGACAGCAGGUCCCACCCUGCACAGCCACCAGCAUCUCUCCCCUCAGCCCUGUCUCCUCUUCUGCAGUUGGGAUCUGCACAUUUAAGCCUGAAAUUGUCCUGUGAAGUGAAGUAUGAUCGGACAGCCUCUUUUCAGCUUUUAUGACAAUGGAGACAGAGGAAUUGUGGCUCUUGCCAAGGUCACAGGAUUGGAAUACAGAGCCAAGCCACCCCAGGACAUGCAAGAGCCUCAGAAGGGAAAAAAGCCCAGCAGGAAGGGAGAACAAGUAGCCUCUGUCCUGAAGUUGUAACAGCCAGGGGCCAGGAUGGAGGAGGAGGACCCCAUAAUCUGCCCAUCUGGGACUUGGCAGGGGACCUGGGAAAAUGUACCCCAACCCAUCCCUUAAGGGCCUUUGUCUUUGGCCCAUUGGCCUAGCAUCUACUUCUUCACCGUGUCUGUUCUUGUCACACCUAGUCAGGUCUGUUUGGGUCUGAGGUGCAUGGAACAUUCUGGGUAGGCCUCCAGCAAACGGAAGCUCUUCACCGUGUUUCCAGCCUGGGACCAAGGGCAGCAUACUGGCAAAGUUGCCAAAGCAAGGGACUCCAGCCUCUUAGGAGUUAAUGACUCCCUCUCCCCAGCUGUCCUCCCCUUGGUGCUCCUCUUCCUCCCUCCUCCUGCUCACAGCAGGCAGGGCCUAGACCCGGGAGCCAUGCUGCUGUGCUGUUGCCAGGGGAGCACGGAGGCAGAUCUGAGCUAUGCAGGGAAAAGGCCCAGCCUGUCAAAGUGUCUGAGAUGAACCGCCGCCGUCCCUGUGCAGCUGGGCUCAGACGUGUCUCAGCUCUUGUUCUGUGCCUGAGAAUGGCGAAACCCAGUGAGGUUCAAGGGCAAACUCGCUAUUCAUUAGUCAGGGGUUCUUGACGUCCCGUCUCUCCCAGGGAUGAGUUCCCCCCUCCUCUUUCUCCCCCUCCUAUGACACAUUCCUGGGUGCCUUUGGUGAGGACUGCACACCCUCCUCCUGCCUAGCCCCCUCUCCAAAGGCCCCUGAAUAAACUCCCCCCAAGGAGACCAGGCAGGGCAGAGACAA
ensembl:lncRNA MIR9-3HG MIR9-3 host gene